rnacentral:lncRNA from 1 species
AAAUAUCCUUUUGAGAUCUAUAAUUUUAUGCCAGCCUCUAAAAAGAUGCUAAAUUGAAUCAAAAUUCCAUUGUUUUGGUCUCAUAAUAGACUGAUCAUAUAGAAAGUUUUCUUUUUGAAAUAGAUUUUGAGCAAGAGAUAUCUUCUACUCUAUGAAGAAUUAGAUAGAGCGAUAGAAGAUGAAAUUAAUAUAUAAAUCA